AUUUGUUACCGCGCGCAAUGCGGUCUGUAGAGUCAGUGUUUGCUGUGUAAUAUCUUUUAUAUUUUCUAGAGCACGAUAGCUCUUAAUAGUUAUAAAUUCAAUUACAAUAGUUAUACGCGAAAUUAGAGUCAGUGUGUUCGCCGAUUGUUAGUUAAACGGACGUGCUACUAAUCUUUCCUUUUCUUUUUUUUUUUUUUUUUGAACAUUCGCCUUCGGUAGUAGAGUCGCAGGUUUCACAAGAGGAUACAGCCUCUCCUGGAAAUCAAGAUUUUUUCAUAUAAUUCCUAUUUUUUCCUGUGCUUCGGGAAGGACGCAGUGAUGCUUCAAAACUUAGCAUGUUUAUCACUCCUUCCUCUUCCUCCUAUUUCCUGAAAAGGACUUACUAAUGCUUCAAAAGACUAGAAU
rnacentral:misc_RNA from 1 species